UUCAUCUGGAGAAGGGGAGCACUGCUGGGCUCCUGUGAGCAUAACCACCACACCCUUUCCUUACCCAUUUUCAGUGUCACAGGGAGUUUUUUCUAUUAGAAAACAGAAAAUGUAAAGUACACAUUAAUCAGAUUGCAAAUAAUCCUUCUAAGUGGUUACUGAUACAGAUGAAGAAACCUCAUGGUUUACUAAUCAGAAGAAAGAACCAAAUUAAUAAAUACUUAAUUACAUAGUGGCAGGGUGGAGGUGAACCAAUGAAAAGGACCUGGAGGAUUACAGGAUGAUCUUGAUAGCUGCAGCCUCUGGAGAAGGCUCUCUUCAAACAAGAGUUCAAAGGAGCUGGAGGAUCUCUUCAAACAAGACCCUGCAGAGGCUCCACUUGUUCCUCCCAGGAACUGCAUGGUAAGGUAGGCACCAGCACGCGCAUCAGUAGUGCUGUGUAGAAAAGGCGUUUGACAUGACUUCCAUUAGGCCUCAGCAGUCACCUUGGCCUUUCACAUUUCAAACUAUUUUUUGUUUCUUCAGGCUGAGCUGAGGGUCUCUUGAAAGCAGGAUUAGGCUCCAAGAAAAACGAGGAAAAACUGUUCUGUUGCUGCAGAUGUGAGAAGGGCGGGCGUGCAGCCGCUGAGGCACGGGCAGGGCCGGCACGACAUUCACCAGAAGCCUUUGCUGGGGCCGCUGCGAGCCCCGCGGCUGGGUACCUGCGCUCGGGGUGAGCAGGGCACCCGCCGGGGGCCGUGGCUCUACUGCUGCCGGCUGCGCUCCGGCGGCCGGAGCUCUGCGGAGCCGCCACGCCCGGAGCCGGGCGGGUCGGACGCUCCCGGGAGGGUCUCGGCCGCGGCCGCCGGGCCGGGGCUCCGCCCUCCCCUAAAAAGGAGGGGGAGAGCUCCCGCCGGCGCGGACCCGCCAAGGCACGGACGGGGUUCGAACCCGUGAUCUUCGGUUUACGAGACCGACGCCUUACCACUUGGCCACCGCGCCUGCGUUGAGGAGCCCUGCUGACGCCUUUCUAUCGCUGGCGCCACUCCCGCACGCCCGCCCACGGCCCGCCCUCGCGCGCCUGGGCUGCCACCUGCUGGGGGCGCGCGGCCCUGAGGCGCUGAGGGCGCGGCGGCGGCUGAGGGGGCGGAACGGGAGGGAGGGACGGACCGGGACCGCCGCUCGUUCUGGCUCUUGCUCUCCCUCCGUCUCCCUCCGUCUCCCUUUGUCUCUCGCUCUUUUUGCUGCCAGGAGCCUCCCCUCCGGCUGCGGAGGCAGCGCCCUCUGCAGCGCCCGCCCCGGGGCUGUGAGGGUGCGGUUCCCGGAGACGGCACUCGAGGGGCUGCUUCGCACCGGCCAGCACGGCUUAGAGAGGGAGAAAAAAGCGGCAUUAAAUUUUUCCUCCUCCAAGAAGAGAAGCAGGAAUCCAAAACGUUGGGAUAACUAAAUGUCCACAGCACUUGUCUUGGAAGGGGUUCAAGAAUGAUGCAGUAGAGGGCAGAAUGGCCCUGCAGUCCUUUUUCUGCACAGAAGACUGGAGACUCACAGGAAUAUCUUGGUAAAGUUGCAGACUAUCCUUUGAGGUGUGGGGAAAUCCAUGUGACUUCUUUGCCAUCAAAGAAACAUCUACUUGAGACACUACAAAUACCCUAAGAAAUAUGUCCCUGUAGCAACAUGUGUACAAUAACCAACAAGCCCAUGGGCAGGAGCAAAUGGCAUUGAAUGUGGUACAGAGUAAAGACAAAUGGCUGAUGGCCAUCUGCAGAGCAUGUUUGAAUUAACUGAGUUUUUAUUGAAAAUCAAGGUUUAGCCUGUGGAAGAAGUUCACUCAGCAUAAUCUCAAUUUUUAUCAAGCCUUGUUUUGUGUUUACAUCAAAUAGCAAUAUGAACACAGCUUGUGAAAGGUUAUGUGUUUCUAUUUUGUCACUGUAAAACAAUCAAGCCCCCAGACUGUCAGCUAGCAGCAAAACAAAUGCUUUAUCUCUGUUAUACUCCAGCUGUAAUUUCUUCAAUGCACAAUACAUGGUCAAAAAGUGCUGCACUUGUUUUGCAGUAUCUGUGUCUGGUGUGUGAUAUCAAAGGUAAGUUUGUGGCCCAUACAGCCUACAAACGUUUACAAUGGUUAAAGUUCACAGAGAAAGGGUAUUUUAUGAAAUUUACAGCGUUUAUUAGUAAUUUUAAUUUUUUUCAGUUUUACUCAAUUACUACUUACUACUUUAUGGAGUUUUUAGUAUUUGGCCAAAUAUAACAAUUUCUGAUGUCAUCAGUGUAGAACAGACUUUAAUGAGCAGAGGGUGGGUGGUUUAUUACAGGACUGCCUUCACAAGGGGAAGUGUAGCACUAAAUAUUUAAAUGAAACAGCUUCAUCUUUAAAAGAAGCUUGUGCAAAUAGCUCAUUCUCCUGAAAAAAUGCGUGUUCCAGAAGCUGAGCAGAAUGCAAAUCAAAAAUACAAAAUCUCACAACCCAAUACAUCUUGAAAACCUUGGAAGAAUUUGGGAAAGUCAUGUAUUAAAGUGCAUUACAAGAGGUCUGUAGUGAGAGGACAAAGGGGAACCAUUCAAACUGAGAGAGAGUAGGUUUGGAUUGGGUAUUAGGAGGAAGUUCUUACUGUGAGGGUGCUGAGAUGCUGGAGUGGGUCACCCAGAGAAGCUGUGGCUGCCCCAUCCCUGGCAGUGUCCAAGGCCAGAUCCAGCGGGGCUUGGAGCAACCUGGGAUAGCAGAAGGUGUCCCAGCCCAGGGCAGGGAACAAGAUGAACUUUAAGGUCCACUGCAACCCAGGCCAUUCUAUGAGUAAAUGAUGCUAUAUUAAAAAUUGCUAAAAAAAAUGGAAAUCCAAACCUAAACUUCAAGGGUUCAGGAACACUCUGUUCUUACAGAUUUUGGCUCUGAUUUUAAAGACAAACCAUGAUUCUUCUGGGGUUUGUCUAAGUGCAGAUUCAUUCUUACUCCUUUUUGUGAGAAAGGUACUCAGAACGUAAGCCCAAUGUAUCAGAUUCAUAAAAGUCAGAAUGAUGUUUUCAUUUUAAGUAGUAACCAUGGACAAAUGAACACAGUUUUCCUUUUUUAUUUGAGACACUUAGCAAAAAUGCUGAAAUAUCAAACAUUUCCUCAGUAGCUACAAUAUUGCCACUAUGUACAAAAUAUUUGAUAAAUGUAGUACACAUAUAAAAAUACAGUAUGCAUUACAUAUAUACAGUACAAUGUGCAAAACAUAUGGCAUUCAAACAUAUGGAAUUGAUUUUAGGGGUGCAAACAGCAAAUACAAAGGCAUCAUGGUUCUAGAAAGGCAAUACAUAAACUGACGCCCUGAUUGCCAUAAUUUGCAUUUAGUAAAGUAGUGCUUAAAUGAAGAGGGCCCCAGAGACAGGUGUUUAUCUUCUUCUUUUCACAAAAUGAGAUGCUAAGACAUAAUUACGACUAUGAAAAUAAGAAGAGAAACACCUACUUGGGUUAGCGUUAUUCCUACUGCAAGCAGUACUGUGAAGAAAAUCCUAUCUGGAAAAAAAGCCUGUGCUAUUAGUUACUACAAAUUUCUCAAACAACAAAAACAAAUCUGUACUGUUAAACAUCAAAAACAGCUUUGAAAAUAUCUACAUCCUUAAUUUUAAAAAAGUACGGAUAACGCUUUUGGGGACUUAAUUUCCUAUGUUUUAAAAUACAAAGUGCCUCCUUUGGCAAUAUAAAUGGCAACGCUUUGGUUCCUAUUUAAAUUUUUAUAUUAUUAUAAUUUAUUUUAGGCUGUCUUUUGAAUAUCUGAGCUGUAUAAUUUUAUAAAAAUAGUGUGAUUAUAUAGUUAUUAACCAUUCCCUGCUUUUUUUUGAGAAUCUGCUCUCAUAGCUAGAAUGGCUUUUUUGGCUAGAUUUCUACAAAUACAUUUAUGCACUUUUAACUUAAAAACACUUUCUGUUCAGUAUUGGACACUACAGAAUGAUGUAGGUGUCUCUUUUUUGCACUUUAUUCCUAGCAAACUGGUACAAAAGGAAUAUUUGAGAUUAUUUCAGGUUUUAAUGGAUGCUCUUUAUUGGCCAAGUAUAUACUAUAUGUAACUCAAUUCCACGGAUCUCACAUGAAAUACCUUCUGGGGUAUGGUCUAGAAUUCACUGAAAGGUGAUUUCACAGACCACAGUAUGAAGAGUUUCAACAGAACAUUUACUAGAGAUAAGUGGAAGAUUUUUUUCCAGUUUUAAUAGAGUUUGCUUUAAGUUUAUAAUACACUUAAGAUGCCAGCCAAGUAAAAAUUGUUUACAUCGGUGAACUUUCCUGUGUUUUGAUAACAUAAUGCCCUUCCAGUUCAAUGUAUUCUGUAAUUGCAGUUUCUCUGCCUUGAAAAUAGUUCAGCAGCUUGUGCUCAUGUUCUGAUUACAGGGCCUACACUUUUGAGGCACCUGAAUGUCUGAGAUUAUGUAACAGAAAAGUUUAAUAUUGACACUUCUGUUUGGAUCACCAUCUUCUCUGAACAUGACUCUUGUUAGUGAAUUUAGAAAUACCUGGGAAAUAAAUGUCAGUAUUAAGUAGUGAUCAUUUUUAAAAGCUGUGGCCUCAGCUUUUUAAAGUUCUGAUUCUGCAGGUCUGCAAGCCCACAUUGCUGGAUUACACUUUCAAUUUCUUUAGAGAACAACUGCCAUAUAUUAAUUUUAUUGUCAGAAAAAGUACGACAAUGCUUUUUAAUCUAUUUCUAAUGUUAAACAAAAUCUUGCCUGUAAACUUCCUUGCUGUAACCGAUGCUGAAGGGCACUGAAAGUGCGCAGCAAAUUCCAUUUCUCUACUGAACGCAGGAUGUGACUCCUCUUGAGUAACACGACCCUAGUAAAACAUUGUCUGAGCUCUCUCUGCCUAGAUGUGUAAACAAGCAACUUUGGAUUUUUAUACUGAUUAAAAGGUAUUCUUAAUUACUUUGAAGGACCCACUAACACCACAUUUGAUAGGAUGCAUUCUGUUAGUAUACUGCAGCCAUUAAAUGGCAAAUUUAGUGCCAGUGCAUUCCUUUGCAACUGUUCUCUUAAUGAGAAAGAUUCAGUUCUGUGCAGUCAAACUGCACAGUCAUGAUUAAAUUUCUAAGAUGUAUUUGUGCUACAAAAACUUUAAUGUAAAACAUGCACACACAAAAGUCUAAGCAAAACCUAUUUCUGCCAUAAACAGGCAUAUACAGCUAUGGCAAACAGAUCACAUUUCAGAACAAAGUCUAAAGCAAACCAUUUUAUAUAAGGUUUAAUACACAAUUCUGAAAUGUACAGAAAAGUAAUCACACAUUCCCUACACUAGAAUAUUUGUACUUCAGAAACUAAAAUGAUCCCUUAAUUUUAAUUUUUUUUCAAAUAGACGUUCAGAGCAGAAAGCUAUACCGUACUGAUAACAAGACAUCUCAACUGUUUGGGUUUAUUUCUGCACAAAGAUUCCUAUGGAUUAAUUAACAUUCUACACUGCCAACAAGGGUAACUUUGUAGCAGGAUGACUUUGCCAGUUUCAAGCUGUAUUUACAUGCACAUCAAAAAUGACAGUACAGUUGCUCUAAGUUAAUUUGUCCUCUAAAAAUUAAUUUACUUGCCUCUCAUUUAAGCAGGAGGCAGGGUCAAAAAGGGAUAACUCUAACCACACAUAUAUUGUAUGAUGUCUGGUGUAUCACACAAAAUAAACUGACAGUACUGCAGAACACUAGAUUUCAUUCAGAGUUGUUCCUAUCAGACCAAGAAUCCUUAAUUCUUAUUCUCGUAACAGCCGAGGGCACUUUGUAUCUCAGAGUAUCAGCUCCCAAGAGAGGAUGAUGAACAGGAAUGCAAAAAGUUGAAUGUUAAGUGUUCACUGUUACUGAAAAGUCCUAUACCAUCAAAGCUUAAGGCAGACAGUCCACGUGUAAUAUUGUACUCAAGUACUGUAGGCACAGCAAGAAGGAAUAAGGAAUUAUGUCUUUCAACUGUGUGUAGUGAAAAAUCUCCAAAGAUUGUUUUCUUCUACUUAGUUUCAUAUUACAGUAAUUCUUGGCCAGUAAAACCAGUGAAGAUAUACAAUGAUUUAAAGUGCUGUAAUUGAUAUGAUGCAAACAUAUGGUAUCAGUUCACACCCUGAAUCAAUGAUGUAAUCCAUUAUUUUAUCUGAAGCCAAUGGAAUUCUGUCGUAUCAGUAAACCAGACUGCAUUAUA